rnacentral:rRNA from 1 species
AUUGAACGCUGGCGGCAGGCCUAACACAUGCAAGUCGAGCGGAUGAAGGGAGCUUGCUCCUGGAUUCAGCGGCGGACGGGUGAGUAAUGCCUAGGAAUCUGCCUGGUAGUGGGGGAUAACGUCCGGAAACGGGCGCUAAUACCGCAUACGUCCUGAAGGAGAAAGUGGGGGAUCUUCGGACCUCACGCUAUCAGAUGAGCCUAGGUCGGAUUAGCUAGUUGGUGGGGUAAAGGCCUACCAAGGCGACGAUCCGUAACUGGUCUGAGAGGAUGAUCAGUCACACUGGAACUGAGACACGGUCCAGACUCCUACGGGAGGCAGCAGUGGGGAAUAUUGGACAAUGGGCGAAAGCCUGAUCCAGCCAUGCCGCGUGUGUGAAGAAGGUCUUCGGAUUGUAAAGCACUUUAAGUUGGGAGGAAGGGCAGUAAGUUAAUACCUUGCUGUUUUGACGUUACCAACAGAAUAAGCACCGGCUAACUUCGUG